GGAUACCCCGAGCGGCACCAACAGCGGCGCGGGCAAGAAGCGCUUUGAAGUGAAAAAGUGGAAUGCAGUAGCCCUCUGGGCCUGGGAUAUUGUGGUUGAUAACUGUGCCAUCUGCAGGAACCACAUUAUGGAUCUUUGCAUAGAAUGUCAAGCCAACCAGGAGUCCGCUACUUCUGAAGAGUGCACCGUGGCGUGGGGCGUCUGUAACCAUGCUUUUCACUUCCACUGCAUCUCUCGCUGGCUCAAAACACGGCAGGUGUGUCCGUUGGACAACAGAGAGUGGGAAUUCCAAACGUAUGGGCACUAGAAAAAGAGAAUUCUUCGAUCAAGCUCAACUGUUUUUUUGUUAUCCACUGAAUGACUUGCCCUCCUGUUACUUAAUUAUAAAUUAGAUAGAACCGUGUCUCUUCUGCUUUGGCUUUUCAGUUUGCUAUUCCGGCAAGCCAUACUGUAUUCUGUGUCAAAUAAAAUCCAGUUGGAUUCUAGAACAGACGCUGUCUCUUGUGUAUGUGCAAAAAGUGAAUGCAAGUAAAGAGCCCUCCCGCCCCUUUCUAGGGUGGAAGGCCAGGUUUUGAAAGUGAGAUGUUCAUCAGAGCCAAAGCAGGAUCGUCCUGCGAGCACGUCGCUUGGUCUCGAGGAAGCCUGGUCCACAGCCUGGCUGCUGAUGGUGAUCUUGGGCGAGUGGUCUCUCUGCUCUGAACUCUUCCUCCUCCGUGAAGUGGCUGCCAAGGACUAAACAGGAUCAUCUGGGCACAGAAAGAGGCCUUAUAAACUGUGAGAACGCUGUACAGGUGUUAACUUUGUGUAUGACGUGUCGCUUUCUCAGUUUAGUUUAGAAAAGUUAACUUGAAAAAAAAUUAAUAUGUUAUCUUGGCUGGCAGUGGAGUAAUGUGUGAACUCAAAUUGGAAAUCAGUGUCAUUUAGAGUUAAAGGGAGAAUUCAGGUUUCCCUUCUCCACCACCACCCUUUGUAAUUUGUUUAAAAUGCCUUGGCCGUGGACGGAACUGCCAGUUCUAACACUACUUCAAUCUCUUAGUCGUUAAGAGGAGGGUUAAUUUACUGCAGUGAUUCUCAAAGUGUGUGCUGAGGACUUGCAGGAGUAAUGGAAACACUUUCAGGAGGUUCACGAAGUUCCUUUUCUGGCUGCAUGUCUGUAAAAGGCCAGUUUUUCUUUUUUUCCUUCAACCAAAGCAAUGUAUUGAAUGAAGACGCAGAGCAGCGAAUCCAGCUGUCUUCUGCUAAGUCAGAUAUAAAAAAGAUUUGCAAAAAUGUAAAACGGUACCACUCUUCUAACUUUUGUUUUGAAAAACUAACUUUGAAUAAAAAUAUUUAUGUUAAAAAAAAAA
ensembl:lncRNA